GCAGGAGUCCCAUAGUGGUCGAUUGGAGCGGUUUUGUAAGCCGCCAGCUUUGCUCACGUCGGUUCGAAUCCGACCUCCUGCUCCA
rnacentral:tRNA from 1 species